AUGGGACGCAAUGACACUACCUCGCGAUUCAGUCUACAAUGCUGUACUACCAGAAUACUGAAGCCCUUAAAUGGUUCAAAAAGAAAGAGGAAGAGGAAGAGAGAUAGACAACUUAAAGUCUUACACCCACAGCACAUUGUGACAAUUCUGAGAGGAAGUCGCAGGAGCCUGUAUCAGAAAGGAAAUAUAAAGUACAGACCUUUCCUAUGUGUAUUCCAUGUAUGGCAAUGGGUCAGUCCUGCUUAAUCCUUCUAAGAGCAGUUCAAAGAUCAGUGCUUUGCAUCUAGUUGAGAUAUGUGGUAGAAGCCAACAUUAUGUUGCCUAAUUAGGCUACUACUGUAACAACAAGGUAAGGAACUUUAAUAAAAUGCAACACAAUUUAUACUCCAAAUAAGUUCUCUGAUUGUUCAUACUAAAAAGGAAAAGAGGAUGGUUGCUCAAGUGGCUGUCAUUUCAGGAAUGUAUAUGUGUCAGAACAUGCAUAAACUCAGGAACAUUAAAAAAAAAGAUUUAGUUUAACUUUUCACGUGGCUGCAGACAUGCAUGCAAUCAUGUCAAGUGAUUCUCCAUUUUAAAAAUUUGAAAAAAUUUAUUAAUUUAUUGAAAAUUUAAAAUUAAAUUAUAAAAAAAACAAUAAGAUGCAAUGGAAGUAGGUUUAAUUUCUAUGUUAUGUAUACUGUUUAUUUAGCAGAACAGCAUUUUAUUUAUAUAAUAACCUAAUUAAAAUUGAUUUUUUUAAACCUAAUUAAAAGUAAUUAUUUUUUAUUUUAAUAUUUAAUAUAAAAUGUUUUUAUUAUAUUUAGAAUUUUAUAAUUAUUUAAAUUUCUCUUUCAACACUGUUCUUUUGAGCUUUCUAUUCAUCAAAGAUGUAUCACUGAGAACAACUGUUUUCAAUAAUAAUAAGAGAUGUUUUUGAGCACAAAUUCAGCCUAUUAGAAUGAUUUCUGAAGCAUCAUGUGACACUGAAGACUGGAGUAAUGGAAAAGUUAUUUUAAAUUGUAAUAAUAUUUCAUAAUAUUACUGUUUUUACUGUAUUUUUGAUCAAAUAAAUGCAGACUUAAAUGCAACUAAAAUCUCACCAACCCAAACUUUACAAAUCAAUAGAAUUAUGCAAUUUAAAUAAUUGAUAAUUAUAUUUUCUACAGGGGCAAACUGCAAAGAGUUGAAUUUCAACAAGCACAAUAGUUCCACUCAUAGAUCAUGCAAGAUUUUAUGCACGGAUAUGUAAUACUUUCAUGACAGAAUGAGUUUGGUUUCAAAUGUUCAAGCUGCCUUGACAUUUUGGAAUACCUGCUUUAUCAAGGGCACAAAUCCCCAACAGACAACAUCAGAAAGGAGCAGUCUAAAUGUUGCCAUGUUUUUGACUUUGAUCCAUUGAGGUACUUGGACAAAGAAGGAGAUACAAAAUAUGUUGUUUGAGCUGAUGUUUACAAAAACAUUGGCCAACAAAAGAGUCUUAACCUGAGAAAUAUGCCAAAGUGAGAAAUAUGCCACAUUGUACAUCAGCAAUUCUGAUGAUAUCUUCUGCUACUUAUUUUUGAAUUAAUUGGGUAGAAAACAACUAAUUCUAGCUUGCAGCAUUAGGAUGAUAUUUUCACUUAAUGGUUUCAUUAGUUGGGUUUGACAGAUGAACCUCAUUAAAUCCAGAGAUCUGCACAUUGUGCAUGGUUUACGCUACUUCAUAGCACACAGUGAUUAUGGGUGUAUCUCUAUCAUGCUGAUUUUGAUCUGACAGAACAGUCUGGAAGCCUGGAAACAGGUCAACAAUGUGUAACCCUGGGCCACAUCAGAGUCCAGUGAAGCUUGUUAAUUAGCUCCUUAUAUGUAUAUGAACGCAACCUAAACAUAGUUGUUUUAGUCUAUGUUAAAAAAAGGUAAUAAGUGUUGAUUAUCAGUGUAUGGUAACAUUUAAUUCUUGUCACAGAGGUGCUUUGUCUUGACCAAUCAAGAGUGUUUGUGCCACACAAUUAUAGCAGUUGUUUAUAUUGGCAAAUUUUACAUUUCAUAUUGAGUCUAUUUGUAACUAGAAUUUUAAAUCUGAAAUCAAGUACAUCUACAUUUGUCUGUAUAAAAAAUAACUGAUGUGAAUAAUAAAUGAUCCCUAAUGCAAUCAAUAAUUAUACCUCUUGAUUACCCAUGUGUGCAUGUGCAGAAAAGAAAGGGAGAGAAUAUGAGUGGAGAUAUUUAAUUUCCAUGAAACAGUCAGCAGAGCAUAAAGGACCCAAUCAAUAUCCUGUCCUUUACAAGAGGAAGAGGAAAGCUGCUGUUUGCCCUCAAAAUAACCUGAGCAAGUUCCUGUUUCCUUCAUAAUUUCCUUAUUUCAGCUGAGCAGAGGAUAUAUAUAUAUAUAUAUAUAAACUGGUGAGGAUCCGAGGGGAUUUGUAGUUCUCAGUAGUAGUUUGUGAACAAAUAAUUGUGAACAA
rnacentral:lncRNA from 1 species